AACUUAUCCAGAGCGGUGGAGGGACUGGCCCUUUGAAGCCCAGCAACCAGCAGUUAAAUCUGUCCGGUGCUAAUUCCAGCAGGAAGAUUCCUGAUAGAUAAGGA
rnacentral:ncRNA from 2 species